rnacentral:lncRNA from 1 species
UUGAGCAACAUCUGUUUAUUUAUUGUUUUGAUCAAAUGAGAAACCUAAGGGUGAGGAUAUUUUAAUAUGGAUGGAACUUCAAAAUGAAAAAGACAAGGCAUACAUGAAACAGCCAAAAACAUAACAGAGGACCUAUGAUGCACAGGUACGGGUACCGGUACGUAAUACGGCAAAUUUUAAAAAACAAAGGUAUGGGUAGAUUGAUAAUAAAACGUCAAGAAAAAGAUUUUCCAAGUGAGUUACUACCAUUGUUGUUGUAAAAACAUGGUUAGAAAAAAAUCAAUUAUAAUAAAAAAUAAAUAAAUAAUAGUAUCAUACUAUUUGUAAUUCAAUCAUGUGUUUAACC